rnacentral:snRNA from 1 species
GAACUCUUUUUGACAGCACAUAGACUCAAAUUGGAAUGAGGUAGAAAUUAGCGUGGCCUCUGCACAAAGAUGACAUACAAAACUGUGUCAAUUGUGAUUGUUUA